UACGGAGGGUGCAAGCGUUAUCCGGAUUUACUGGGUUUAAAGGGUGUGUAGGCGGGCUAUUAAGUCAGCGGUGAAAUCUCCGGGCUCAACCUGGAAACUGCCAUUGAUACUAUUAGUCUUGAAUUCUGUUGAGGUGGGCGGAAUAAAUCAUGUAGCGGUGAAAUGCAUAGAUAUGAUUUAGAACACCAAUUGCGAAGGCAGCUCGCUAAACAGAUAUUGACGCUGAGGCACGAAAGCGUGGGGAUCAAACAGG
rnacentral:rRNA from 1 species